rnacentral:rRNA from 1 species
GACGAACGCUGGCGGCGUGCUUAACACAUGCAAGUCGAACGGUAAGGCCCUUCGGGGUACACGAGUGGCGAACGGGUGAGUAACACGUGGGUGAUCUGCCCUGCACUUCGGGAUAAGCCUGGGAAAAUGGGUCUAAUACCGGAUAGUACCCCGGCCGGCAUGGUGGGGGGGCGAUAGCUGUUGCGGUGUGGGAUGGGCCCGUGGCCUAUCAGCUUGUUGGUGGGGUGAUGGUCUACCAAGGCGACGACGGGUAGCCGGCCUGAGAGGGUGACCGGCCACACUGGGACUGAGAUACGGCCCAGACUCCUACGGGAGGCAGCAGUGGGGAAUAUUGCACAAUGGGCGCAAGCCUGAUGCAGCGACGCCGCGUGAGGGAUGACGGCCUUCGGGUUGUAAACCUCUUUCAGCACCGGCGAAGCGCAAGUGACGGUAGGUGCAGAAGAAGGACCGGCCAACUACGUGCCAGCAGCCGCAGUAAAAC